rnacentral:rRNA from 1 species
GAUGAACGCUGGCGGCGUGCCUUAUACAUGCAAGUCGAGUGGGUUUAGACUCACGGCACUCGGGUGAGUAAUACCUAGGUUGUCUCCUUGUCUCAGGAAUACCCCUACGAAAGGAGGGCUAAUACCUGAUGUGAAUGCAAGAUUAAAGGCUACUCCUAAGGAUUAACGAACAACAAGAGGACUGCUGACUAUUAGCUAGUUGGCGGGGUAAAAGCCCUCCACAGCUCUGAAGGGUAGCAGGUUUAAUGGGGAUGGUCAGUCACAUGGGAACUGGGACACGGGCCCAACUCCUGCGGGAGGCAGCAGGAGCGUAUUUUGCGCAAUGGGGGAAAGACUGACGCAGCGACGCCGCGUGCGAGGUGAAGGCCUUGGGGUCGUAAACCGCUUUUAUAAGGGACGAACUUUGACGGUACCUUAUGAAUAAGAGGUUGCUAACUCAGUG